rnacentral:rRNA from 1 species
CACGUAGGGCGCAAGCGUUGUCCGGAAUUAUUGGGCGUAAAGAGCUCGUAGGCGGUCUGUUGCGUCCGCUGUGAAAACCCGGGGCUUAACCCCUGGCUUGCAGUGGAUACGGACAGACUAGAGGUAGGUAGGGGAGAAUAGAAUUCCCGGUGUAGCGGUGAAAUGCGCAGAUAUCGGGAGGAACACCGGUGGCGAAGGCGGUUCUCUGGGCCUUACCUGACGCUGAGGAGCGAAAGCGUGGGGAGCGAACAGG